UUAACUUAUUUACUCUAUAAGCUCAGAAGGACAUGUACAGUAUAGAAUUUUGGUACUCCGGCAGGGACCCGAAGCCAGGCCUUAAAACCUGGCCCUAGCCGCCUGCCGAAGCAACGAAUAGGUAUAAUUCACAGUGGGUUUCGGAGUUUUGCAACUCUAUAAUGAUCCCUCCGCUGGUUCACCAACGGAGA
rnacentral:misc_RNA from 1 species